GAACGUGUUGCUUAGCCUCCUCCGAAGAAGUAGAGAUGAUGCAAGGGAGGAAAGGAGAAGGGGUGGAGACCUUGACAGGUGAAGAAGAGGCAAGUGAGGGGGACAUGGUGCUUAUUACCAGAAAUGAUGUCUUGAGAGAAAGAAAGCUUAGAAGGUUUCUCAGCCAUGGAAGUAUGAGAUCUAUCUAAACCAAAAGAAGGG
rnacentral:lncRNA from 1 species